GAUGAAGAACGUAGCGAAAUGCGAUACGUAGUGUGAAUUGCAGAAUUCAGUGAAUCAUCGAAUCUUUGAACGCACAUUGCGCCCCUUGGUAUUCCAUGGGGCAUGCCUGUUCGAGCGUCAUUUGUACCUUCAAGCUUUGCUUGGUGUUGGGUGUUUGUCUCGCCUUUGCGUGUAGACUCGCCUUAAAACAAUUGGCAGCCGGCGUAUUGAUUUCGGAGCGCAGUACAUCUCGCGCUUUGCACUCAUAACGACGACGUCCAAAAGUACAUUUUUACACUCUUGACCUCGGAUCAGGUAGGGAUACCCGCUGAACUUAAGCAUAUCAAUAAGCGGAGGA
rnacentral:misc_RNA from 1 species